CGCACGCGGGCGGGGGCGCGCGGGGAGGGGGACGCGGCUCGGGGCGCUCACCAGCCCGGCUCCCCAGGGCUCACCCCAACACACUGCACUGGGUCGAUGAGGCCGGGAAGGUCGGAGAGCAGCUGCCGUUGGAGGACCCUGACGUCUACUGCCCCUACAGCGCCAUCGGCAACGUCACGGGAGAGCUGGUGUACGCCCACUACGGGCGGCCCGAAGACCUGCAGGACCUGCGGGCCGGGGGCGUGGACCCAGCGGGCCGCCUGCUGCUGGUGCGCGUGGGGAUGAUCAGCUUCGCCCAGAAGGUGACCACUGCUCAGGACUUCGGGGCUCAAGGAGUGCUCAUAUACCCAGAGCCAGUGGACUUCUCCCAGGACCCACCCAAGCCGAGCCUGUCCAGCCAGCAGGCAGUGUAUGGACAUGUUCACCUGGGAACUGGAGACCCCUACACGCCUGGCUUCCCUUCCUUCAAUCAAACCCAGUUCCCUCCAGUUGCAUCAUCAGGCCUUCCCAGCAUCCCAGCCCAGCCCAUCAGUGCAGACAUUGCCUCCCGCCUGCUGAGGAAGCUCAAAGGCCCUGUGGCCCCCCAGGAAUGGCAGGGGAGCCUCCUAGGCUCCCCUUAUCACCUGG
rnacentral:sRNA from 1 species